CAGCAGCCACGGUAAUACGAAGGGGGCUAGCGUUGUUCGGAUUUACUGGGCGUAAAGCGCACGUAGGCGGAUCGAUCAGUCAGGGGUGAAAUCCCAGAGCUCAACUCUGGGACUGCCUUUGAUACUGUCGAUCUGGAGUAUGGAAGAGGUGAGUGGAAUUCCGAGUGUAGAGGUGAAAUUCGUAGAUAUUCGGAGGAACACCAGUGGCGAAGGCGGCUCACUGGUCCAUUACUGACGCUGAGGUGCGAAAGCGUGGGGAGCAAACAGGAUUAGAUACCCCGGUAGUCCCUGUCUCUUAUAC
rnacentral:rRNA from 1 species